GCCUGGGUGGCUCAGUCGGUUGAGCAUCUGACUUUGGAAUUUGUGAGUUUGAGCCCCACUUUGGGCU
rnacentral:tRNA from 1 species